AAGAGGAGACAGGCGAUGGCGUGGGUGCAGGAGCGCCUGGCUGGCAGGAAGCCGACUUCCGGGGCGCUGCUCCAACAGGCCAGUGAUCAGGCCUGGAAUUGGGAGAGUGUGCUCAAGAGGCAUUUGGAUGGGGCACGAAACUGGAAAGGAAAAAAGCCAAAACAGGCCCCGGGGCCUUCAGAGGCCAGGGAGGAGUUCACAGGGCCACAGGCUGCUCAAGGUGAAAAUACCUCUCAGCAGCCAGAGCGUGACCCUGGGGCACAAGGACAUGGCCCCCGCUGUACCAGAUCCCUGCUCUCGAGGUGGGGGGUCCCACACUCCACUCCUCUGCCAGGCGGAACAGAGAACCUUUUGCAUUAACAAGACGAGAAGUAUCAUCCCAUGACCACGCUGGAGGCCCCUUUCACAAGGAAGCAGGGCCGAGCAGUUAGGAACCCCCACUGCCACCAGCCCAGCCUCCCAGGGAGAGGAACCCGAAAAAUGACAACAGGGCAAGAUGUCAGGGAAGCCGUGUCUUUGCAAAUCAGCACAUCCUUGGACAGUCUCAGGCGUCAUCUGCUAAUGAACUUGCUGAACCGCAGACAAUUAUUUCUGGAACUGAGGGAGAAGGGCAAGGAGGCAGGGGCUGGGCAGAGCCGACAGACCGAGAGCCUUGUCCAGGCGGAGCCUCGGCGUCCACACCAAGAUGGCUCUGGGCCCCGCAGAUGCUUUCCAGGCCACCUUCCCUGGGACCAGUGGCCCCUCUGCGCUCUGGCACGUGAGGCCUCAGCUCUCUGAAUACACACCAUGGUGUCAGGGGCUUGCUUUCUAAUCUGCCAGACCCCUCCUGACCGUACUCCCCAAGCCAGGGAGCUCCUCCGGCCGCCGGGGCCAGGGGCGGGCUCACUUGAACUGCUCUGGAUACAGAUGGUUAGAACCACAGUGGGAAAGGUCAGAGGCAGCAAUGCCUGGGCCCACAGAGAGCGGCUGCCGAUCGGGGACAAGCUUUGCAAAGGACCAGGUCGAGCCUCGCUGAUGGGUCCCUCGGACCCUCCCACUCACACGGCGGCACCCUCUGCCGGGCUCUCUGACCGCCACUGACCACCAACAGGCAAGAGGCUGGGCGGCCACGGCCCCGAGCCAGGCCCGACUCCGUGAGGCUGUGCACGGGCACCAUGGACACAGAGCUGGGAGCCAGGUCACCCUUGUGGAGCGAGGGUGGCCGGGGGGCUCCUCCGCCCCUUUCUCCGUCCCCCUGCAUGGCAGACAUCACAGAUCGAUUCCUGGGCUCCUUCCCGCUGAGCCGUGGGCCCCCGCUCUCCCAACAACCCUUCCGAUCAAUCCGGCUGCCACUGGCAUGCCUCUGAGAGCCGAUUUUCCACGCGUGCCAACGACUGACUAACCCACAAGAGAAUGUGAACGCACAGCUUUCGGCCAACGGGCAUUCCGCAGUCGGGCAGACGCUCAGCCUUCUUUCCGUCCUCAUCAAGAGGAAACCGAGCCACCCUGGAAGCACCCGGUGGGGCUUUACUCUCAUGGGGCGGAAGGACGGCCCCCCCCCACCCCCCACCCCAGGCCUCUCCCCUCCCUGGCAUCGCACAGCACACCAGGCUGGCCACACACCUGGCCUCAGCACCACACGCCAAUGCCCCUAGGAGCUCUGGCCGGGGCACCCCCGCCCGAAGCCGCCGCACGCCGGACCCCACGCCCACGCAGCUCCCUCCACAGACCUUCCGCAGCACCGGCGACGGAAGAAGAAUCCAGUCCCAGCCACCUACCUGAAGGAGCCAGUAGCACCUCCGGUGGAAGAUGAGAGGCAUCAUCGAUGAAGGCUGGAGAGAGGGACAGCGGACCCCUGACGAGAGCGAACCAUGUCAAGUAGCAUCGAGGGAGGAAGGGAAGCCCCCUCUAGAACCCUAAGGACUCAAGGAGCCCAAGCGCAUGCCCCCCUCCCCGUGUUGCCUUGCCCCGCACGCUGGGUCCCUCCCAUGGCUCACUGCCCAUCUGUACUUCCGGGACUGGAAGCUCCAGGGUGAGGCAGGGAGCCUCAGACCCUCUGAAUGACGGUGGCCAACAAGUGUCCCACCGGUCUCCACAGCCCAGUACAGGGUACAGGACCUGAAGGCAAUAAAUGGUUCAUUUUUGCUUGUGUUA